rnacentral:rRNA from 2 species
UGCUUUGAUCCUGGCUCAGGAUGAACGCUAGCUACAGGCUUAACACAUGCAAGUCGAGGGGAAACGAUAGAGAAAGCUUGCUUUUUCUAGGCGUCGACCGGCGCACGGGUGAGUAACGCGUAUCCAACCUGCCCAUCACUUGGGGAUAACCUUGCGAAAGUAAGACUAAUACCCAAUGAUAUCUCUAGAAGACAUCUGAAGGAGAUUAAAGAUUUAUCGGUGAUGGAUGGGGAUGCGUCUGAUUAGCUUGUUGGCGGGGUAACGGCCCACCAAGGCGAUGAUCAGUAGGGGUUCUGAGAGGAAGGUCCCCCACAUUGGAACUGAGACACGGUCCAAACUCCUACGGGAGGCAGCAGUGAGGAAUAUUGGUCAAUGGGCGAGAGCUUGAACCAGCCAAGUAGCGUGCAGGAUGACGGCCCUAUGGGUUGUAAACUGCUUUUAUAAGGGAAUAAAGUGAGCCUCGUGAGGCUUUUUGCAUGUACCUUAUGAAUAAGGACCGGCUAAUUCCGUGCCAGCAGCCGCGGUAAUACGGAAGGUCCGGGCGUUAUCCGGAUUUAUUGGGUUUAAAGGGAGCGUAGGCCGGAGAUUAAGCGUGUUGUGAAAUGUAGAUGCUCAACAUCUGCACUGCAGCGCGAACUGGUUUCCUUGAGUACGCACAAAGUGGGCGGAAUUCGUGGUGUAGCGGUGAAAUGCUUAGAUAUCACGAAGAACUCCGAUUGCGAAGGCAGCUCACUGGAGCGCAACUGACGCUGAAGCUCGAAAGUGCGGGUAUCGAACAGGAUUAGAUACCCUGGUAGUCCGCACGGUAAACGAUGGAUGCCCGCUGUUGGUCUGAAUAGGUCAGCGGCCAAGCGAAAGCAUUAAGCAUCCCACCUGGGGAGUACGCCGGCAACGGUGCAACUCAAAGGAAUUGACGGA